GACGAACGCUGGCGGCGUGCUUAACACAUGCAAGUCGAACGGAAAGGCCUGCUUUCCCUUGUGGAUUGCGGGUACUCGAGUGGCGAACGGGUGAGUAACACGUGAGUGAUCUGCCCCCAACUUGGGUAUAAGCCUGGGAAACUGGGUCUAAUUCCCGAUAGGACUGCAGGGAGGUGCCUGUGGUGGAAAACGAUUUUCUAGUGGUUGGGGAUGAGCUCGCGGCCUAUCAGCUUGUUGGUGGGGUAAUGGCCUACCAAGGCGGCGACGGGUAGCCGGCCUGAGAGUGUGGACGGUCACAUUGGGACUGAGAUACGGCCCAGGCUCCUACGGGAGGCAGCUGUGGGGAAUAUUGCACAAUGGGCGGAAGCCUGAUGCAGCGACGCCGCGUGGGGGAUGACGGCCUUCGGGUUGUAAACUCCUUUCGACCGCGAGGAAGCCACCUGGUUGGAAGGGUGGUGACGGUAGUGGUAGAAGAAGCACCGGCUAACUACGUG
rnacentral:rRNA from 1 species